rnacentral:lncRNA from 1 species
AAAGAUGAGAGCAUUCACAGGGACCCCAGGAUGAGGUGUUCAAGGUAGAAAUGGAGAAGGUGAAGUUGCUUGGAGUUUCCUCUUUCAGCAGUUCAGCCAAUAUGUAGCUAAUUUUCACCGCAGCUAUCUGAUCUGUGCUGCUCAUCUCCAUGUGCUGCAUGGAGCCAAGGGGGUCAGAGAAGAUCCUGUAAGUCAGAGGUUCCUCCAGUGUCACUGCAUACGUGGAGCAAAACAGCACAUGGAACCAUAAGUAAUGGAGCGCAAAGUAGCUUCAAAACUGAAGCAC